AGUGAACGCUGGCGGUAGGCCUAACACAUGCCAGUCGAACGGCAGCACAGUAAGAGCUUGCUCUUACGGGUGGCGAGUGGCGGACGGGUGAGGAAUACAUCGGAAUCUACUUUUUCGUGGGGGAUAACGUAGGGAAACUUACGCUAAUACCGCAUACGACCUACGGGUGAAAGCAGGGGAUCUUCGGACCUUGCGCGAUUGAAUGAGCCGAUGUCGGAUUAGCUAGUUGGCGGGGUAAAGGCCCACCAAGGCGACGAUCCGUAGCUGGUCUGAGAGGAUGGUCAGCCACACUGGAACUGAGACACGGUCCAGACUCCUACGGGAGGCAGCAGUGGGGAAUAUUGGACAAUGGGCGCAAGCCUGAUCCAGCCAUACCGCGUGGGUGAAGAAGGCCUUCGGGUUGUAAAGCCCUUUUGUUGGGAAAGAAAAGCAGCAGGUUAAUACCCCGCUGUUCUGACGGUACCCAAAGAAUAAGUACCGGCUAACUUCGUG
rnacentral:rRNA from 1 species